GCGUCCAUAGCUCAGCGGUAGAGCGCCCGACUUUGUCGGGAGGUCGUGGGUUCGAGUCCCAUUGGGUGCACCA
rnacentral:tRNA from 1 species